AGGGUGUAAACGCUGCAGACUUGGUGUUGGAAGCCCUUUGGGGGCAUUCAGUGCCGGAGAGAAGUUGUUAAGUCUGCUACUUGGGGAGUACGUCCGCAAGGAUGAAACUUAAAGGAAUUGGCGGGGGAGCACCACAACAGGUGGAGCCUGCGGUUUAAUUGGGACUCAACGCCGGGAAGCUCACCGGAUAGGACAGCAGAAUGAUUGCCGGGCUGAAGACCCUGCAUGACUAGCUGAGAGGAGGUGCAUGGCGUCAGUGACUCUGAGUCGGGG
rnacentral:rRNA from 1 species